UCCAAAGUUACUCUCUAAUUGAGGUAAAUAAAGAGUAGUUGCUAAUCCAAUUUGGAAAGUAAUAGGAUAUGUUUCCAUUAAUUUUCUUGUAGUUUUAGCAAAUUCUAUGUCUCCAGUAUAAACAAAUACUNNNNNNNNNNNNNNNNNNNNNNNNNNNUGGAAAGUAAUAGGAUAUGUUUCCAUUAAUUUUCUUGUAGUUUUAGCAAAUUCUAUGUCUCCAGUAUAAACAAAUACUUUAUUGUAAGCAUACAAACACGCAUUUAAAUCCAUGUUAAAAUAAUUAAUAAGGCAAAACUAAAUCAAAUUUUUCAAUAAGGCAAGUUUUUAGGACUAUAAUGAUAAUAUUAAUAUGAUACUGAGGUUCUGAUACCAAAAGGGAAGGGAACGGAAUAACAGUGGGCUAAAGCUGACAAUAUCUGUAGCAGUAAGUCAAGCAGGUAGGGAUCCCAAGCCAAUUUAAGAACCACAACACCGCAUAACGGCCACCUGCCUGGCGCGGACAAAGUGCACGGCUAGAUCCACUUUAGCUUUCAUUACUGGCUGUUAUUAAACCUUUAAACUAACGGCCACCUGCCUGGCGCGGACAAAGUGCACGGCUAGAUCCACUUUAGCUUUCAUUACUGGCGUUAUUAAACCUUUAAACUAAUGUUACACCGAACUCCCAAUGUUCACAGGAUCAUUGUCAUUUUAGUAUUAUUACUGCUUUCCUAAAACCUUGCCAUAGAAAAUUUAGCUUGUCAUCGAAUUGCAUACCUUAUUUUGCUCCAUUAGUUCCGUAAUUGAUGCUAGAUCUUUUGAUAUUUUUGAGAGAGUAAGAGUAUAUGAGAGAGAGUUUUUCAAAGN
rnacentral:lncRNA from 1 species